UUUUUUAUAAAAGGAAUGCCGAGUUCCGUAAAAUUUAAUCUAGACAUAUAUUAUGUAAUACAUAAAGACAUGAACCCUGCAAUAAGUUCUUCUAAAAGACCAAUUUUCCGUCCCUUCAUUACUCUAUAAUGUAAGUGAACAGAGGGCUACGCGUUCAGCGCAGUAAUCCUAUCGGUAUCACUACAAUGUGAUGUAAUUAAACGUUCCUGACGUGUUAUUUACUAUCUGAAACGAAUUUAGCGGGCUUUAUCACCGCUAUCUCACCGUCAUGGAAAAUUUGAUGUUCAGAAGUACACUAUAUGUAUUUGUUAUAAUGUGGUAGAGUGUUAUUGAUUUAUAAUCAAAAGGAUUGCACUUAAAUUGAGCGAGUGAUUAUGUGAUCAUCAGAAGCAAAACAACGAUAAAGGAUCUUUAAUGUGAAGAAACAGACCUAUAGAAGAAAUCACCAAAAUAUCACACUAUGCCUAGUUUAUAUGAUGUGAACGAUAAUGUUAUUGAUUGCCAGACAAUCUUCAUUUCAACGUGUUUUGCUUAUCUAUUUUUGUUGUUUUAUUUUUAGCAAUUAACUAACAUAUAUUGAACAAUAGGUUACACAUGUAUCGUACUGAAAAAGUAAAUGACGACGGAAUUUUCAUUUUUGAAUAGCUAAAAAUAGAAGAUAAAAGAUGAUUAAAUAGGCGAUGUUUAAUAAGUGUAGUAUUUUUUUUUUCAUUUCGCGACAAGUGAAAUAUCAGAACUUUCAUACCACACUUGUAUUUGUAGAACAAAACUUGAGUUUUCACUUUAUUACAUUUUGAUUUGGCUGACUUUAGAAGAAUGUAGCCAGGAAAGACACCAGUGACAAAACGGAAAUAUAUCUUACUGCUGCAGUGAAAAAUAAAUUAUUUAAGUAAAAAACAAAAACUGAAAAUAAAUUACUCAUUUUUAUGUUAUAAAUAUUUUUCAGUAUUAUAGAAGUUAUUUUAAGGAUAUUAAAUAAUAAUAAUGAAAACGUAAAUCAAGUUUUUUAAUGUCUGAAAUUUCGUGAUUAAUUUCAUCGAGUGAUAUGGAAAAAAAAUCACCAGUUGUUGUAGACACGUAAUAUAUAAUUAUAUAGAAAAAUAAUGAAUUUUCUACUUAUUAUAUUCUUUUUCUCUGUUUUAAAAUGAUAACAGCUAUGACAGCGCUCUUUUUAUUUAUUUUUAAUAUGCACAUUGACGACAGUAGUUACUCCACCAGUAAAAAGUAUGUUACACUGCAGUAAAAGAGAACUUAUUCAGAGAAAAAUAUGGAAAAUGAAAAUACGCAAUUCAUUUCAUCCAUAUUUUUGCAUAUUUUACUCAUAUAUGUAAAAUAAAAACAUACUUUACGCUACAUUUAUAGUAAAGUAUAAACAUUAGAAUAAGAUCAACAGGCUUAUCGAUUUUUUCAGUUUUCUAUUUUACUUAAAGAAUCAAACGUGCACGGUUAUUUGGUAAAAGUAUAUAUGCUCUUAAGAAUAAGAUGUCAUGAACUAUUCAUCAGAUUUAUA